CCCUUAGAUGUUCUGGGCCGCACGCGCGCUACACUGACGAAUUCAACGAGCUUAUAACCUUGGCCGAAAGGUCUAGGUAAUCUCCAAAAUUCGUCGUGAUGGGGAUAGAUUAUUGCAAUUAUUAAUCUUCAACGAGGAAUGCCUAGUAAGCGCAAGUCAUCAGCUUGCGUUGAUUACGUCCCUGCCCUUUGUACACACCGCCCGUCGCUCCUACCGAUUGAGUGGUCCGGUGAGGCUUUGGGAUCUGAGCGGAAAGAGCGUUUCGCUGUUUCUGCCCGGAAAACUCAGUCGAACCUUAUCAUUUAGAGGAAGGAGAAGUCGUAACA
rnacentral:rRNA from 1 species